GCACACUCGACAUGUUCUUCCUGUUAAAAGGGAGUUUUUCCUUCCCACUUUUGCCGAGUGCCUGCUCAUAGGGGUCAUCUGAUUGUUGGUGUUUUCUCAGGGACAGGGUCUUUAAAAACAAGCACCUUCAGUGAUUGCUGUUGUGAUUAUGCACUAUUUAAAAAAAUUGAAUAUUAAACAUAGUGAAUCUUCCUCAGCCUCCUCUCAUUUAUCUGUACUGCCAUGCUGUUUUCAGAGAAAUGCACAUGUAAAAGUGUGUUUAUUACAUAUUAUUUUAUUACAAUAUUACGCUCAUUUUUGAGACAGAGAUUUGCACUACUAACGUGCAGAUGCAUGGUAGUAAUAAAAUGGACCAGCUGCAUUUGUUUGCUUAUAAAUGUAUAAACUAUAUAUGGUUUUAUUGAUGUUUUAUUGUUGUCUUGAUGUACAAAUGUCAUUUUGAAGAUGGCAACUGACUUCAAGUGGUCUCAGACCUGGUCCCCGUCUUCAAAGUGACCAUUUCAAAGACAUCCUGAAUAAAUUUAGUCAGGACUUCAGAAGGAAGAUGACAGAUACCUGAGUCUACUGUGUCUACUCAGGGACAAGAUGAGUACCUUGGCUCCACAUUAACACAACAGAACUGGCAGGCUUUUCUCGUUCAUUCUCAGAAACCACGUACUUAAGUUUUCACUGGACUCCACAGAGACCUUUAAAAGCUCAUGACUGUAACUGGUAGGUGUGCUAAGCAUGUUUUCACUGUUUCAAACACUGGGUCACCAGACCCAGUGCCGUGACAGAGCCCCCUCUCUAGGGGAUGGCUUCCACAACUAAAGAAAAGCGAGUCCAAAACAAAACGGAUCGGGGGGCCGACCUGGAGGUCAACAGCCCAGAAGUCCAGAACACAGUUCAGGAGGCUGACCGUGUAGAAAGUGGCAACAGCAUGGCCAAAGCAGGUCUGUGUAUAAAAUGGCGGCGACAACAGAGUUCAGGAGGCCGCCUAUGAUGGCGAAGGGUAGCUGGUGUCGAUGCUGUUUAGUUAUUGGAUGUGGACGCGCUGGAAGGGCUGGACAGGGUUGUAGACAUGCUGGAAGGCUCACAGGCAGCUUGACAGACAACCGGCGUGCAGAACCAGACUGCGCCCAGACGUGCGUGGUGGAGUAGUUGGUGGCGCGGAAGCCACAGGUAGUGGAGCUGCAGGUGAUGGAGCUGCAGGUGAUGGAGCCGGGGGUGGUGCACCAAAUGCUUGUGGUGGUGAGGCAACCACAGGCGGUGGAGCUGGUGGUUGAGCUGGAAGCUGGACAGAUUCUCCAGAGCCCCCAGCCAACACUGACGGUGGCGUGGUAGCUGUGGGCAGCUGGAGCGGCUCUCCCGAGGCCCCAGCGGAGAUCAAUGGCAGUGCAGAAGCCAUGGAUGGUGAGAGAAACUCUCCUGGGCCUUCAGCGGCGUAGAAGCUGUAAAUGGCUGGAGCAGCUCUCCAGAACCCCCAGCGGAGACAGAUGGAGGGCCAGCAUGCGCGGAGACCUCUGGCUCUGCCUCUGGGUGAAGUAGGAUGGAGCUGGGCAGGGCACAGAGCCAGCUCAGGACGCUUCUCGGGCUGCAGCAAGAUGAUGUCUUUUGAACGCUGGGUGAGCUCAUUUGAGCCCUGAGCUGAUGACAGAAGAGGCUGAGGCAACUCGGCAGAGCAAGCUCCACUAGCUCUAUAGUCUCCAGAGGUCCAGAGUCUGCAGAGGUCUGAAGCUCACCCUCUGGGGAAGCCCUGCAGAGAGUGACGGUCUCUGGAAGAGUUAGUUCAGCAGCCAUACAAACAGUCUUAGAGUUAGCCUGGUCAGCAGAAACAAUCCUUAUAUUUUCAGAGCCGGGGUUAACAGUCUCUGUGGAAAUAGCUCUGUCCACAGAAAGUCCACAGAGCUAAAAUAAAUGUCCUUGGAAAGCAAACUCUUAAACUGUCUGAGCUCUAAAGGAGCGGGGUAAAUACUGUCCUUUAAAUCCAAAACAGCCCCAGGAAAAGAAAAUUGGGCCUAGCUGCCAUGGAAAUAAUAACAGUCUCUCCAGGAAAUGCAGAAACGGUCCUUAAAUCCUCUGAGCUGGAGUCAACAGUCCCAGACAUAACAGUUUUAAUAUUACCAGGCUUAGAACCAACAUAAGUUACCCAGCUGUUAGGCUCCACUGAUGUGGAAUUAUUGUCCUUAAAGUGAACACUUUUAUUUUCAGGCUCGGAGUGAGCAGGGGAAGCACAAGUUUUUAAGUCCGUAAAGCAUGCACUGGUGGCCUCAGAAAAACAGUCUGUUUAUUUUCAGGCACGAAAAGUGAAUUAAAAAGUCUUUUUCGCUCACCACGGCUGGGCUCUCCGGAGACAUCCGGGAUCCAGACCGUGGUGAGGACCACCAAAGGCGUGGAUGCUGCUUCCUCCGGGAAGAGGGAGCAGGGAUGAUGGAGGAGACCGGUAAUGGCAGAGGGCUGGUGACUGACUCCUCAUCCUCCGACUACAUCGCUGCCAGGAAGGAGGCAGGCAAACGAGGGUCGGAACUGGACGUGGAAAAAGAGUGAUUCCGUGGCAGCCUCGUGGAAACGCCCACCUGCUGUUGCUGCCGUGUCGCGGAGAGCUCAGUCUGCUGCAGGUGUUGCGACGUGGCGAGCUCUGUCUGCUGCUGUGCUGUGGUUAAAUCCGAUUCUUUUGUCCACAUGAUAGAACAGAGAAAACCGACUCGUAGUGGUCAAAACAUUUUAUAUUUCUUUUUAUUCAAUCAUCUUCCAGAAGAGAGAGAGCCCUGCACAGCCCAAACA
ensembl:lncRNA